rnacentral:rRNA from 1 species
UACGGAAGGCAGCAGUGGGGAAUAUUGGACAAUGGGCGAAAGCCUGAUCCAGCCAUGCCGCAUGAGUGAAGAAGGCCUUCGGGUUGUAAAGCUCUUUUAGUGAGAAAGAUAAUGACGGUACUCACAGAAGAAGUCCUGGCUAACUCCGUGCCAGCAGCCGCGGUAAUACGGAGGGUGCGAGCGUUAAUCGGAAUUACUGGGCGUAAAGGGCACGCAGGCGGUUAAUUAAGUUGGAUGUGAAAUCCCCGGGCUUAACCUGGGAAUGGCAUUCAAGACUGGUUAGCUAGAGUCUUGUAGAGGGGGUAGAAUUCCAUGUGUAGCGGUGAAAUGCGUAGAGAUGUGGAGGAAUACCGGUGGCGAAGGCGGCCCCUGGACAAAGACUGACGCUCAUGUGCGAAAGCGUGGGGAGCAAACAGGGAUUAGAUACC